rnacentral:sRNA from 1 species
AUAUAAACCUGAUUGCAGUGGAAAUACUUUUUGUUCAUCUAUAGAAUUAGAUUGCCGCUUUUUUCCUGCCCGCAAUGACCGAAUUUGAACGAAGCACAAUGACAAAAAGAUUGCAACGAAAAGCAGGAUUGCAG